CCCCAUGGUGUCUCCUCAGUUCCAGCCCCAGCUCGUCCUGGUCGAGGCUUCGCUGGAGGAUUUGGGGGGUGCCCUGGGGGUGUCCCCGGCCGGGUUCUCUCUCCUCACCCACCUGCUGUCAGCCCUGGCCAGGGGGCGGCUGCUGCUGCUGCUGCAGCGGCCUGGCCAGCAUUGCCCGCACGCUGAGCGUCCAGCAGCGCUUCUGGGGCUGCCUGCAGAGCUUCGGUGAGGGCACCCCGAAAUCCCAGGG